UACGUAGGGGGCAAGCGUUGUCCGGAAUCAUUGGGCGUAAAGAGCGUGUAGGCGGUUCGGUAAGUCGGCUGUGAAAGUCGGGGGCUCAACCCUCGAAUGCCGGUGGAUACUGUCGGGCUAGAGUGCGGAAGAGGCGAGUGGAAUUCCUGGUGUAGCGGUGAAAUGCGCAGAUAUCAGGAGGAACACCGAUUGCGAAGGCAGCUCGCUGGGACGUCACUGACGCUGAGACGCGAAAGCGUGGGGAGCAAACAGG
rnacentral:rRNA from 1 species